UACGUAGGGGGCAAGCGUUGUCCGGAUUUAUUGGGCGUAAAGAGCGUGUAGGCGGCUUUACAGGUCCGUUGUGAAAACUCGAGGCUCAACCUCGAGACGCCGGUGGAAACCGUAAAGCUAGAGUCCGGAAGAGGAGAGUGGAAUUCCUGGUGUAGCGGUGAAAUGCGCAGAUAUCAGGAGGAACACCGGUGGCGAAGGCGGAUCUCUGGGCCAUUACUGACGCUGAGGAGCGAAAGCGUGGGGAGCAAACAGG
rnacentral:rRNA from 1 species